CGCGGGAUGGAGCAGUUCGGUAGCUCGUCGGGCUCAUAACCCGGAGGUCGUUGGUUCAAAUCCAACUCCCGCAA
rnacentral:tRNA from 1 species